GACCAGGCCCGACCAGGACCAGGCGUGUCUUCUGGGUUAGAGCCUGGGGGAGAGCCCGCCUCUCUGGAAGACCCUGAAACCCAGAGGCAACUGGGCUCUUCCACCCUCAAACCUCCCUCUCUGCUCUCCACAGCCUGGUUCCACCUCCCAGAGUUCCCCUCCCCCUCAACCCCUUUCUUAAAAACAAAACCCGCUAGGCCUCUGGCGUUUCCCUACCAUUGGGUGGGCCGACUGUGGAAGGUGAAUGCUGGGCUGUUCCUGCUGAUGGCAGAGGCAGAGGACCCCCAUUUCCCAGCAACGUUAUAAAUGAGAAGAAUAGAGAAAAUACUGUCCCCAGAUAUCUUGACUCCUUCGGUAUUCGAGACCCAUCAACAACUGAUUAUUGAAUUGAUUAACCGGAUGUUUCUGGGAAGGUUGACUCCCAUCUGAGGAGUAACUACUGAAAAUCAUCUUCACGCUUCUUGGUACCUGGUUUCUCAGCCAGGCUAGACAAGGGGUAGACACAAGGCAGCCCUUCAUCCUCGUCCUUGUUGGGGAGGACCUCGUGUGAACACCUGGACACUGCAGCUGUUGCAGCCAUUCUGCAGUCCAGAGGGAGAGGACACCCAAAAGAACCAUGGAGAAGCUGCUCCACAGCCCAGACCUCCCUGAAUCAACUCAGCCAGCACGGAAGCUUCCCGUAGCUCAGUGUAUUGUCAUAUGAAAUAUGAAGGUAUCAUAUAAUAACAUAGCUAAUAGUCUCUAAAAGUA